AGAGUUUGAUCCUGGCUCAGGAUGAACGCUAGCGGCAAGCUUAACACAUGCAAGUCGAGGGGUAUAAGUCUUCGGAUUUAGAGACCGGCGCACGGGUGCGUAACGCGUAUGCAAUCUACCUUUUACAGAGGGAUAGCCCAGAGAAAUUUGGAUUAAUACCUCAUAGUAUUAUGAAAUGGCAUCAUUUUAUAAUUAAAGUCACAACGGUAAAAGAUGAGCAUGCGUCCCAUUAGCUAGUUGGUAAGGUAACGGCUUACCAAGGCUACGGAUGGGGUAGGGGUCCUGAGAGGGAGAUCCCCCACACUGGUACUGAGACACGGACCAGACUCCUACGGGAGGCAGCAGUGAGGAAUAUUGGACAAUGGGCGCAAGCCUGAUCCAGCCAUGCCGCGUGCAGGAUGACGGUCCUAUGGAUUGUAAACUGCUUUUAUACAGGAAGAAACACUCCCUCGUGAGGGAGCUUGACGGUACUGUAAGAAUAAGGAUCGGCUAACUCCGUG
rnacentral:rRNA from 1 species